GACGAACGCUGGCGGCGUGCUUAACACAUGCAAGUCGAACGGAAAGGCCCUGCUUGCAGGGUACUCGAGUGGCGAACGGGUGAGUAACACGUGGGUGAUCUGCCCUGCACUUCGGGAUAAGCUUGGGAAACUGGGUCUAAUACCGGAUAGGAGCCAUCUUUAGUGUGGUGGUUGGAAAGUUUUUUCGGUGUAGGAUGAGCUCGCGGCCUAUCAGCUUGUUGGUGGGGUAAUGGCCUACCAAGGCGGCGACGGGUAGCCGGCCUGAGAGGGUGUACGGCCACAUUGGGACUGAGAGACGGCCCAGACUCCUACGGGAGGCAGCAGGGGGGAAUAUUGCACAAUGGGCGCAAGCCUGAUGCAGCGACGCCGCGUGGGGGAUGAAGGCCUUCGGGUUGUAAACUCCUUUCGCUAGGGACGAAGCUUUUUGUGACGGUACCUAGAUAAGAAGCACCGGCUAACUACGUG
rnacentral:rRNA from 1 species